GGAUGUGAGGGUGAUCUGGCUGCGACAUCACCAGGGUUGAUUCAGCUGAUCUGGCUGACUAGGCGGGUAUCCCCUUCCUCCCUCAACGCUCCCCAUGCGUCCCUCCCAAAGCUGCGCGCUCCAUCCAAGAGGACGACCUUCCCCGAUAGAAGAGGACCGGUCUUCAAGUCAAGGGUAUACGAGUAGCUGUGCUCCCCUGCUAGAACCUCCAAACAAGCUCUCAAGAAAUGUGUAUCUCGUGGACAUCUAAGACCAAGAUACCAAUAGGUCUGGUGUCAAGUGAGGCCCAUUCCU
rnacentral:snRNA from 1 species